GCGGGCGUAGCUCAGGGGUAGAGCAUGACCUUGCCAAGGUCAGGGUCGUGAGUUCGAAUCUCAUCGCCCGCU
rnacentral:tRNA from 1 species